GUUUGUCGCCUAACGAGCUAGGUGGAGGCUUGGAAAAGAAGCGGUCAAACGAAUCAAGCACGAGAAGAAAACGUAUUCGGAUGCGAGGUAAGUAGAGCUUACGCCCAUUUACAUUAUUUGCAAAGUUACUUAAUUUCAAGUAAUGAUAUGAAUGCUACUAAGUGGUUGGUAUAUGAUAUUCCGACGCGAUUCAAUGAGAGUUGGAAUGAGGGGAAAAUGGUAAAUUAGUCAUGUAAUGACGAAUAAUUAAAAACGGUUUUAAGUAAAACAAGUUCAAAGAAAACCGGGAUAGGUAAAAGGGGUGAAAUGACUAAAUGGGUCAAGUGGUGUGGAUAACACCAUUUGGCAAUAACAAUUGACAAUCGCUUGUUGAGUUUUGUGAUUUCAGGAAAUAACAUGUGUUGCGUUGCUUUAAUUAGAAAAUUUAAAGCAAGAAGUAUGUAAACGGGUCAAUACUAUGAUCCGAGCCAGGUACGCAUACGUGAAUUUAUAGUUAAAAGUGCAAGAAGGUCUAACAUCUAGCCGAAAUCCUUCAUUUCAAAAUGAAGGACUAAAUGUGACCAAAGAGCCCUUAAUAGGUAAACAAUGUAGACAACCCUUAGAGGUUGCCUAGAAACUUAUAUUAUGAGUUUGAAACCCUUAGAUGUGUAUAAAAAUUCUAGGCAAAAACAAUUGCGGGUCGAACGCCUAGAAAUAGUUAAUUGCGGAAAAAUGACCAACCGAUAGGUAAAAUUGGGAAAAAGGGGUUCAUAUGUUAAAUCCACCACAAAAUAGUUGUGGUGGAAUAUUUCUAGUUAAUUAGACAUGGAAAAUAUUGUAGUAUCAAAAGAAAAGCACAAGUUCUAGACCAAAAUGCGUAAAUACCCUUAACGGGUCGAAAUAGAAGUAUUAGCGAAACGAGUUAAGAAUGUGUAAUAACCCGUGAUUUGAACCUUGUACAAUAGGAAAUAAUCAUAAUAUUAUGUUUACGAAAGAAACAAGGGCCACAAUCAAGUUUGUUAGAUGA
rnacentral:lncRNA from 1 species